rnacentral:rRNA from 1 species
UGCUCCUACGGGGGGCAGCAGUGGGGGAUAUUGCACAAUGGGGGCAACCCUGAUGCAGCGACGCCGCGUGAGCGAUGGAGUACUUCGGUAUGUAAAGCUCUGUCAGCAGGGAAGAGAAUGACGGUACCUGACCAAGAAGCCCCGGCUAAAUACGUGCCAGCAGCUGCGGUAAUACGUAGGGAGCAAGCGUUAUCCGGAUUUAUUGGGUGUAAAGGGUGCGUAGACGGAGAAGCAAGUUAGUUGUGAAAUCCCUCGGCUUAACUGAGGAACUGCAACUAAAACUACUUCCCUUGAGUACUGGAGAG